GUCUUUCUGAAUCCGUGCUGAGAUUUCGUCAGACACCAACCCACUAGGGCUGAUCAUACUUCCAAGAUAAUUGAAGUU
rnacentral:pre_miRNA from 1 species